UUUAAUAAUUGCAGAAUAUCAGAACGAGGCAAUGGAAGUGGCGAGGAACGUGGUUGAUAGUACUCUAGAGAGGGCAAGUUUGCAUGAAUUAUCCGGAUUAAAUAAUUUAGGCCCAGAGGAAUUAUAUGCUAUGCUGUUUCUCCAGGUCGUUAGACUACAUCGGAUUCUUUGACAGUGAAGAAGCACUUAUUGCCGUGGAGGAACUUGAAGAAGACAGUGGAGAGCAGUACCUGUAUAUUCUCUUUUUAUGACUAUAUAUAUAUAGAGAGAGAGAUCCAGAUGAAAUUGUUGAUGUAGACAGAAGAAAAGGAGAUUGGUGGAGGAACUAGUUCUUCAGUUCAUUGUACAUGCUAUGUUAAAUUGUUCAUUAUCAUAUGAUUUUAUUGCCUA